rnacentral:rRNA from 1 species
AAUUCAAUAGUGAUUCAAGCCUAACACAUGCAAGUCGAGCGGUAGAGAGAAGCUUGCUUCUCUAAAAAAAAAAGGACGGGUGAGUAAUGCCUAGGAAUCUGCCUGGUAGUGGGGGAUAACGUUCGGAAACGGACGCUGAUACCGCAUACGUCGUACGGGAGAAAGCAGGGGACGUUCGGGCCUUGCGCUAUCAGAUGAGCCUAGGGCGAUUGAGCUAGUUGGUGAGGUAAUGGCUCACCAAGGCUACGAUCCGUAACUGGUCUGAGAGGAUGAUCAGUCACACUGGUUCUGGGACACGGUCCAGACUCCUACGGGAGGCAGCAGUGGGGAAUAUUGGACAAUGG